GCCACCUUAGCUCAGUCGGCAGAGCGAUUCACUCGUAAUGAAUAGGUCGAGAGUUCGAUUCUCUCAGGUGGCUCCA
rnacentral:tRNA from 8 species